CGUACUGGAAAGUGCGGCUGGAUCACCUCCUUUCUAAGAGAAAGAUAAACUAAGGCUAAUCCCAUUAACUCUUCCCUACUCUUUUCUUUUGAUAAGAAAAUUUUUAAAGCCUGUGUUGUUUUUGUAAGUUUAAGAGAAGUUCAUGUAUUAAAUUUUUUAUUGUUGAUGUUAAAGAGCUUUAUUAAACUUAGACUUAAGUUUAGAUCGUUUUGGGGGUUUAGCUCAGUUGGCUAGAGCAUCGGCUUUGCAAGCCGAGGGUCAAGGGUUCGAGUCCCUUAACCUCCAUUGGGCCUGUGCCUUAAAUUGCGAUUAAGUAUGUUUUCAAGUAGCUUUGUUAAAGUAAUUAUUGGAAUGUGAAACAGAGGAAGUUGGAAUUUUUAAGUUAAAUUUGAGAUCUAUUUAUAUUAAGAAGAAUAUCUAGAGGUGAAAGCAAGCUUCCGAUAAAAACAGACCUUAUUUCUCUAAAGUAUAAGGGUUGAACAGGAUUAUACUUUUCAGUAGUCUUUUAUAAAUGAGCUACAUUUAUUGCUAUCUUUUAGUUAGUAAUUGAUGAGGAUCGCCAGUUGUGAUACUUGGGGAGAGCCUUGUAAUGAGUUGCAAUCUUUGUUAUCGUUACCAGUAUGUAAUUAUGGAUAUUCGGGGUAAGACCGUCGGUUAUAAAUUAGAUGAAGGCGAAGUUUAUGUUAAAUUGUCAUGAGCCCCCUAUGCUCUAGGUUACAAAUUUGUCUCAAUGGCCUAAAAAAGCUAAUUAAAAUGCUAUAAAUCAGAUUUCAGUUUGGAUUUGCUAAUAAUCACAUGUGCUUUAAUAUAGAAAUUGAAUAAAUUUUCAUUGCCAUUAAUUAUAGCUUAAAGUAACACUGCUGUA
rnacentral:misc_RNA from 1 species